AGAGCUAAGACUUAGGGGACUGGCAGAUUAUUGCAAAAGGGCACGGGGCAGAGGGACUAUGUUGUGAGCCUGCGAAAGAAGUUUGUGUGGGGACUGUGGGCAGUGAACGCGUUGGGAACAAUAUGGAAAACUGGGAGCCGCCUUGGAAUCUACAGGGCCGGAGAGACCGAGGGGCUCACUAGGUUGACCAGGCUGGUCUUGAACUCCUGGCCUCAAGCCAUCCUCCCACCUCAGCCUCCCAAAGUGCUGGGAUUACAUGCAUGAGCCACCACAUCCAGCCUACCUAAAAUAUUGAAUGCUGUUAAUAAAUCUCCUGAGGCCAGCAUAAGAAGGUGAUGGGCAAAACUAAUGCAGGGUUUCAGUUGUGCAAUUUCACCAUUAGCAAAGCUUUUUGCUGAAAUCUGGCUUUUCAAAGGGAGAGUAUCCAGAAACAGAAGAUGCUGCUCUGAGAGGCUCUUCCUAAUAGAACUGCUGCUUCAGUUUAGCUUGAAAAAGCCCACACCCAGUUCCUAAUGACAAACAUCUGAACACCGGGUCUUCCCACGAGCAAGACCAUGCUAUGCCUCCUGCUCGCUCUGUUCUAUAAGCAACCCACAGAUUGCUCCCUGUGAAGAGGAGCCUGCCAGGGGAGCAGCAUUCCACCAGACCCUGAUUUAGCAAGAUAUUUCCGUAUCAUUCCCCCAACCAGCUGGAAGUCCUCCACUGCUCUUGUGUAAAAAUCUAACUCAUCUCGCUGAAUUUCCUGAUUUAAAAGUCUAAUUCAUUUCACCAAAAGUGUGACAGAAGGAAACCAAGUACACCAUCUCUCUCUUACCAAACCGAAGCUAUUGCAUGUGCAUUCUGGGGGAAAAAAUGGUCCAAAUAUGUUAUGGAGGGGGUGCCAGCCCAGUGUCAUCCUCUUACUAUUGCCAUAGGAUCUUGGCUGAUGGCAUCAGAGGAAAAACAAGUUUAUCGAUUACUUUCAACCAUUAAGCUCACUCCUCCAUGAAAAAUAAGUCACAAGUCCAAUGUCUCUUAUUAAAAUAAGCACUGCAAAAUACAAAGGAGUCACAGUUUUAAAAUGGGACACACGUUCUCUAAGCGGUGAACCACGUUAGAGGUGCACUGUUUACAUUGUAUAAAGUCCCCUGGAGCCAGGGUUAGGAAGCGCAUCUGUUCUUUGGUGUUCUGGGAUGAAGGAGAAAGGAAAAUGUGCUGCCAGAAGUGAGUGGGAAGGAGCCCAUGAGAUAAAGGAAGUAAAUCCAUUUGCUGAUUGCAAUAAUAAUGGUAAUACACGAAGCUAUACAUACAUACAUACAUACAUACAUGCAUGCAUGCAUGCAAAUUUUCACAUUUUUUAAAAAAAAGAA
rnacentral:lncRNA from 1 species